UUUACCUCCAACCUCGAGCAACCGUUCUUUUUUUUUGCUGCAUUACCAUCUAUUAUUCCCGUUUCCCUAAUCGCCACCAUACAUUUACAUUCAUUUGACCGUUGCAGUGCAUCCGCAUGCACCCUACCAACGCAUACACACGCGCUCGCUCACUCGCUCGCUCGCACGCACACACAUAGCCAACAGCGUGUAUCGUCGUCGCUGGUGCAAGGGGUUAGUUCGUCGAAAGCGACGUCCGUUACGUUCAGAAAGGUGCGAGCCGUCGACCGAGACUGGUGCUGUGUUUUGCCCUGUGCUUCCUCUGUCUGCCGAACGCCGUGGCGUACGUGACGUGUCGUUGUAUUUGAGAGCGAGAAAGCAAGCGAAUCGAGAAAUAGUGCUUGUGUGUGCGGUUGUGUGAAUGCAGAAUGAACGAGAUUUUGUUUCUUUUUCAUUGUGAAAGUAGCAGCUUCACGAUGCACGGAAAACCAGCACCGGUCGAGACAGCUACGCAUCUUUCUCCCAUCCUAACUCUGCUUUUCCUUGCCAGAAUUUUUUAUGGAACCUGACUUGCAUUACUAUAGAGUGUGGCCAAUUGAUGUACAUCCUUCACUAAAGGGCGAAAGAAGCUUACGGUACUGGAGAGCACUUUUCUAUUUGACUGGUGGUUCUGGCGGCGGCGUUUUGCAUUCCUGCUUCGAGUAAAAGCAAAGGAGGCGAACGAAAAAACAGAGAGUGAGAGAGACAUACGAGGAAAGCGAAUGGCACUGAUGGAAAAUCUUUCAAGGAAGGCCACAUCUUCUACCCAAGCUUCCAGGCGGGUAUACAAUGGGUGUACUUUUGUUUUUUUUUUCUCUCUCUAUCAUAUGGAAAGUAUUUUCGUGGCAAAAUCGGGCAAAUCUUAGCUUUCUUUGACAGCUGUACCUCCUCUCGACUGCCCCCAUCCGUCUUUCGACCAUUAUGCGAACCGCCGGCACUACCACUGUAUACUUAAGGGUCAGCAGCUGCGCUUUCACGGCAACGGGCAACCCCUUUUGUGCACCCAGAUCUGACGAAUAUUUAGCCCACGCGGGGCCCACGUGUGACAUUCGUGGCUUUGGGACCAAUUUCCACCUUUCUACACUAAGUAUCAAAUGUAAAUGGGUUUGAGUGUUGGGCCAAUCCUCGGUGAGAAGUGAGUUACUUAUUUUGUGACAGGAAAAAAAGAUGUCGUAUUACACCUCACCUCGGUGGGGCGGAAAAACAGUGGGGAACAGGCCCGUCAUACCGUGUCCCAAUGAUGGAGAAGCUUCCGGCUAGCCGGCGUGACAGAGCGGUCUUCCGAAGAAGAAAGGUAUCUUUUGUAAUCGUACUUAAUUUCAACGACAUUUUUUGUUUUUCCUCUCAGCAAAACCUGCCAUGUGGUGCAGCAAUAGAGCGCGUAAAAAAAUACGUAACACUUUUUCCUUCACUUAUGUUUCUCACAUCUCACCGAGUGAUGCCUCAUGGCGUUUUAGUAAACGGCCAGAAGAGUAGAUUUGCGAAACCAUUUCGAGUCGUGCUGACUCGCUUAAUGCACACCGAGCUGUUUAGCUUCGCCCCCUUUUUUUAGGAUGCAGCGUCGUAUUGAGAUGGGAUACAAUCGUAGAACUAUAAGGACGCACAAUCACAUGUGUAAGAGACAGAGAGAGAGAGAGAGAGAGAGCUCAGCGAGACCUCAAGGGACGUCCGUUCGGCUAAAAAGCGGUGGCCAUCCGCUAUGAAGACGAUUUGAUCCCGACCAAAGACAGCGAGCAGGUGCAACUGUUGGUGUGGUGUAGAUUUGCUUAUCACCUCCCUAUUCUCAGGUUGCGCUCCUCCAUUGCCUGGACUACCACUGCCUUCACACUUCAGAAUACGCGCAGUUGCGAAGGAUGGGGAACGAAUUGGGCUCACACUGUACUGGAAUUGCUACGUCUGUAGGAAAAGGGAUUGCUCCAGCUCAUUCCAAUCGGUUCAUUAUGCCAUCCAAUACCUGGGCCCCUCAUCAUAAAAUUGUAUCUCCUCAUCACAGAAUUGUGCAACGCGCCGAAGACAACUCCUGGCUCGCGCUUAGGCGUACGUGCGCACGGGAAAGAUAUGGAAGCUGUUUCAAGUUUGGAUGUUGCUAGCGACCGUUUUCAAAGAUGCCUAUCGUCUUCGUACCAUUGCGUCCAGACGAUUGGUCAGUUUCAUCCAGCUGCACUACUACCCCAACUGGGCCACUGGUUGGCAAUAAGUGGCUGUGGAUUAAAGUAUCUGAUGGCGGAGAAUGGAGUUGGUCUACAACCGCGCGCGUGUGUCUACUGCAUUCUUCUAAGGCGUGUGGUCGCUGCGUGACGGCGGGUUUGGAGACGUCAGCGAUGGUGCAACCUGCCCAUCGCUUCGUUGCAGCUUGCUGUCUGGCCAAUUUUUCUCUUCAAUCAUUUUUUUUUGUCUCCUCGGAAGACGGGCAUCAGACAUGCAAUAGAAGCUACGACGUGUAUAGAAAACGUCUUCACGCUGUUCCAGUUGGAAGAAGCUGGUGGAGACCUGACUCGACGAGCGCCCAGCUUUUGUGUCUACUUCAUCCCUCUUGGCAACGUUUAGAAUGUUGCUAUGUUUCACCGAAGGAGAUGUUUCGCCGAUGUGCCAUGGCAUGUGUGCCAUAGAAGUUUGCGCGGUCCAUCCAGAGACCUGUGGAUGCGUACUUCGGCGCUAGUUCCCCUCACGUUGGCUCUGACUCUAGCUCGGACCAGCGUAUCGCAAGAAGUUUCUCUCGAAAGCCCAGGCAAGCGUGAAGAGGAAGCAGAGAGUCGCGAGAAGAUGGGCCCAUCAUCGGUUAGGGUUUUCGGUUCCGGAGCGGCGGGAUGGCGGGUUCCUGUGGUGGUGGUCGCGGCGGCGGCUUCAGGGUUCCGGAGGCGACGGUUUUGCUCGGCAAGCGCGAAGAGCCCCUGGACACGGACGGUGUGCCAGCAGGUGGCCAGCGAGAAGAGAGCAAAAUCCAACGACGGCUUUUAUUAUAGAAGAUGGCAGACUACGGCAGAAUCUCUUGAAAGGUGACGUCAAUUUUUGCGCGACUGCCCUUUUGAUGCAAGUGCGCGGUCCAAUGUCACCGAAUGGUCGGCAUUGAUUUGAAUUGGAUAUUUCUGAACACUAUCCUAACGGCCGACAGUAUCUAUGGCUAUGGCGUACAGCGUACGGAGCGCAAAGAAAUUGAACAUUAGAUCCAGCGUCGGAUGGAAGAGAUUUAACCAGUGACAUAACAAGAUUUAAGGAACUAAUUGGAUAAAGCUUUAAUGUAAAGAUGGAUCAUCUACACAGAAGUGCUUUCUGACACAUGCGAAUGUUUCCUGUUUCGCUUGUGACAACACGACACCAGCGUUUGGUUGAUGUGUACCCCAGCACACUAGACGAACACAAUUGCAGAGAUACAAGCUAGCUUCAGCUACGGCACACAUUAUAGCAACCAUAUUUCCAAGCGUUGCAAAAUGUUGCACCAUCUUCAAACGCUUCCCUGAUGAUGUUGAUGAUCCUAGUUUGUUGCGCUGUUACGACACCGAAGAUGUACUGCGAUGCACACAAUGCCCCUGACAUUCGACUGGAAUGUAUUCUCUACCCCUGAUAUGACAUCACACAUAUAGACGACCAAGUUGGUUACCUGCACAAUCGUGUCUGCAGUACAUGCGAGUGCUCCAGACCUGUAGGACGAAUUCUGCAGAUGCGGCCUAUAGAUUGGGGCAGCUCUGAUGCCACACGACGUUACGUUUUCUAAACUCUCCGAGGCUUUCAUUUCUGCUCAUCGAAGUUCAAAACCUUAUCAGCAUAUGCUUCUCACAAGUUUCGUGCAAACAUACACCUUGAAGAUCGGAAACUCUCAGCAAGAGCAUAUCAGUUACCAGCUGCUGGAAACACGCAAGAGUACUGAAGAAAGGCUAAUAAUACGCUUAGGCGUUCAGAAUGAGUUCCACAUUCCUCUGAGAUUCACGAACGGGAGGGAGAUCUUCUACAACAACUUCAGAACACAGUUUCACGCGCGCUUAGGUGUUUCUGCAUCUGCGUGAGCGGAUACUUGAUCAUACAUUUAUAGGACAGGCGAUAUCGUUCACCAAGAAGUUCGAAACAUUGUGCUGCCAAAUAUCAUCCAGCAAUCAAGAAUCAAUUGGAUACAAGGUUGACGUCGGCUUCUCAACCUGACUAGUGACCGUCCGCUGCUAUGCAGAUGGUGCAGUUUUGUUUUGUGGCAAGGCGCUUCAAGUUCAAUCAACCCGUGUGCUCAACAAGUAGUUGCCCUAGCUCGAUCGUUUCGUGCUAGACAACAGGACCGUGUGUGUGCGUAUGCGUGUGGGUUAGUUUCUUCCUUGGAAGAUCUCGCAAGUGAUCGGAUGUUCCCGCCCAAGGGCUCACAGAAUGGAGAUCGGAUCAUAACGAGUUGAAAGCUGCUGGUGCGCUUGCCACACUUUGUCGUCCUCGUUGGAAGGAGAAGUCACAUUAGCAUCUUUGAUGUCCAUGUGGUACCCUUCAACCCACCACGGCCGCACACAGAUGAUGCUUUGUUCCCGAGUUUGCACGGUCGAUUGCGCAGAGCCUUGCGAUGCACUUCGGUCUUGUUUCCAUGUGCAUCUGGAUGCUGUUGAUAUGGAGGCGGAAGAAAGGCAGUAUUUGUUCUCGAAAGCCCAGGCAAGCGUGAAGUGGAUGCAGAAAGUCGCGAGAAGAUGGGCUCAUCGGUUAGGGUUUUCGGUUCCAGAGCGACGGGAUGGCGGGUUCCUGUGGUGGUGACGGCGGCGGCGGCGGCGGUGGCGGCGGAGGCUCCAGGGUUCCAGCGGCGACGGUUUUGCUCGGCAAGCGCGAAGAACCUCUGGACACGGACGGUGUGCCAGCAGGUGGCAAAGCGAGAAGAGAGCAAAAUCCAACGAUGGCUUUGAUUCCAGAAGGCGCGGAGUGCGUUUCGAACCUUUUUGACGAGAGUGUUCGAACGCGAAUGGUGACGUCAUUUUUGUGCGAAUGCGUUUUAAGACAUAAGCGCGCCACUAGUGUCACCGGAAUGGGUUUGAAAUUAUUUGAAUGCGGCAUUUCUGGGCAUUAUCUUUGAAAUGGUUGACAGUAUCAUUGCUACGAACUAGAAAGUAUAGCGAAAGCGAAGAAGUUGAACAUUACUCCAAUUCAUUCUUGAAAGGCGUACCACGGCUUAUCACAACUUUGAAAUGAUUGUUACGACCCAUAUCGAAUAUCUUGCGAACCUUGUACUGUUGUUUACGUUGCAAUAAUUUCAACCGAAGCACAUUUAGAUAUGGAUAGAGAUGUUUCGAUUGUCGGCUCUCGUAUUAUCUUAUCGAUGUAUGACAAUUCUUACCUGACAUAACAAAAUCAUACAUGCGAGAGGAAGAUGCGUAUUAUUAUUUUAUGUAUAUCUACUCACACAAAACCAGUGAACACAAGUGAAUCGAAGUAUAGUCAGCAAAGUGGUGCCAGUUGUUGCCAAUUUUAUGCAGAUUUGUACACCAUAAGAUAUAGUUGCUAUCAUGUAGAUGCUCCCUAAGUCUUCAAAGUCUAUAAACAAAAACACGAUCCUAUACUGUAAUCUAGACAUGGAAACGUGCAUGAUUGAUAGUGCAAUGCCUUAGCAUAUGCAUCUCGUUGCUGCAAAUUCUUUGAAGAAUCGUGCACUAUAACAGAAAACAUUGAUUGCAAAAUGAUUACGAUGAUCAAGUAAUUAGUAAUCUUUUCCGCGAUUAGGUUCCGCCUCAGGGUGACCUAGAAAAACCAUUCUACCUCUAGAAAUGCUUUCAAAUUUGAAAAGGAAUUUAUUCCCAUGCCAAAAAAAAACAAAAAAAAACUACAUUGAAGGUUGCCGAGACGACUAGAAAAAUGCUUUGUUGUACUGUGUUAGCAGGCAUUGAGUAAAGCAGGUUGGAGGUAUAGAUCGAAUGUUGAAAUAUCUAUACGAACUCUACCAUAACCGCGAGGCAAGAUAUGUGAACACAAAAAUAAGCAAUUCUGAAGCUCUCGUAGCAAACUGAAGCAAAAAAGUGAAGUGAACACCACAAUGGAAUCAAAACACAAUCAAACAAACAAGGACAGGACCUGUGGGAAUGCGGGCGGGCAAACGAAAAAAAGCGGAAUAAGUUUUUUUAUUUUAAGAAAACGUACUUACCAAAGAUUCAGUGAAAAUAAGGAUAAAAGAACGCCAUUACGAUUCAACUGGUGACAGAUGCAUUAUCUCUGAUGUGCGAGAAUCAAACAUUCUGGGAGCUUAAGCUCAAAACGAUCGUUUUUUAUGUACGAAAACACCCCCUACGGACACAUUGUUUAUCGACGGCAAAGAAUAAAUUGCAAUCGCUUUGCAGGAUGCCCCGCACCCCUUCUCCCGGGGUCGUGGAGGUUUUGGGCAAUGCUGAGCCUAGUUGAGUUGUUGUAAAAAAGAAGGACAGAAUCAAGAAAAAAAAAAGGAAAAGAUUAUUUAAAAAAGCAGCCGUUUUUGUGUGUUAAACAUUUUCUGCUUUAACUUGUUUGUGAAAACUGUUUGAUGUUGCCCCGUAUCCUCCGUUCCUAUCCGUCACGGAAAACACCCUCGUGCCCCAACACAUCCGGGCCAAGGGGGUGGUGCAAACCAGAACCAAUUACUCUACCGGGCGGUGGGAGGAUCUCAACCGAAGGGGCAGAACUGAAACAAACCAAUUACCAAAGAAAAAAAAAAGAACUCGAAUAAAACUACAAAUUCCAUUUUCAAACGAAACCGAUUCUUUUUUGUUGAAGAAAUUUUUUGCCCAACACAAUUGGACAGUAGUGUGUCGUGUAUUUGCCGUGUAUUGCGUUUGGUAAAAUCUUUUCGUUUGCUUUCGUUUUUUUGUUUUUCAUUUAUUCGCAAUAAAUUGUUCGUUUUUUUAACUCUAUACCAAAAAAAGUGCACACGACGCUCUAGCAUUGACAUUUCGAUGUGUACUAUUCACCAACCCACCAACACGCUGGUUGUAUUGGCGGCGCCUUUUCCAUCAUUUUUCUCUCUGGCUCGCGGGCACCGCCCAAGGUAUGGCCAUUCGGUCGCUCGAGACGGCUCGAUGCGUGUGUAUGUGUUGCAUGUGCUUGCUAAGCUGUGUGCGCAGGAGAGAGGUGAUAGGCAACGAUCGUGUAGUCGUCCCACUAACUCUUAAAGAAAGAAGAAAAGAGGAAAAGUUUGCUGCCCAAAACUGGCCAAAUCACGGUUCCGAAACGCAAUGUGUGAGUGCGUGUGCGAACAGACCCGGUCCCAAGCGGAACAGGAAGAGAGAGAGAGAAAGAGAGAGGAAACAGGCAAACACUAGUUUUGCACGAAAUGCUCGAAAAGUUAACCGCCCGCAGUUUUGAUGCAAGGGUGUGUCCUGUGAUUGCUGCACGAACGAAGCGCAGGUAACGUGUCCCAUUAGUGGGCGCACAGAACCCACCAAAAAGACCGCACCGAAUGGUGAACUUACACUCUGUUACUAAUUUUGUUUCGAUUUUAGUAUCUGGCGUUUACUUAUAAUGCGUAGUGUGUGCGCACGUUUGCCCACGUUUGGUCAAUUAGUGUUGAUUAUUGUGAAGAUCACACGUUUGCGGACAAAAAAACAGCGAACAGCACAGAUGCUAUACACCGUAAGGGAGUUCGUUACAUGCGUGUGAAAAGUAGUCCGAGCGAAGCGCGAUUUCGAAUUCGCAAACAACUUAAAGACGUACGAAGAAAUGAAGGAAAAAAACUACGGUGUAGAAGGAACAGAAAUUAGACCAAACGCGCGCACGAAUGCGUAAGCAGGAAGGAGUUGCGCGGAGUGAGACUGUAAGCGGAAGAUACAGGAUGUAAGAUGAAGGAUGAAGAUUACUCCACUAGAUGUGUCGAUGAUAGAUACUAUUGAGAAGGAAUAGCUGUUUAUGUGCAGCUAUUGCACGUUAUAUUUUCGAGCGCUCCGUAGUCUGUUUACUAGAAGCGUCGGCUUCUACAAGGCCAGAUGGGAUAGAUUCCCUCUCGAACUGUGGCCGGGGAGAACUUUUAACUUCUUUAUCCACCUGCGUGGAACUUUUGACAAGUGUAGGAGGGUCUUAUCUAGAAAGGUCCGGAUGUAAUUGUGUGCUUCCAAAAAGAAAAAAAGAAGAAGCCUUUGAAUAAUGAUAACAAAAAACCACACAAAGGUCACAUGCUCCACCGCGCAUGAUAUAUGGGUCACGUGAACCACCAACUGCGUCUCCUUCUCUCUUCAUAGCCACUCCCACACCAAUUGUCAAAUACCCCGUGCCAACGUCUGGCCCCCUCCCUCCCCCCCUCUUACUAAGUGGGUCCUAGGAAAGAGUGUGCAUGUGUGUGCUCCUCGAAACACUCACUCGCGUUCGCGCGCGCAUACAUUCACUUUCUUUUCGAUUUUCCUGCCCCGUAUCAUGAGAAUCUUCGCGAUCCGUGUGGCAAUGUGCGUGUGUUUGUGUGUGUGCGUGUGCUGCCGUGUGUGUCGAGGCGCUGGAGAGACCAUCACCACCAUCCUUGCGCGGGUAUGCCGUCAUACGGCGGCCGCCAGUACCUUCAAACACAUCGUUUCUGUACUUUGCUCUUCCUUUUUUUCUUUUCUCUCUCUCUCUCUCUCUCUCUCUCUCUUUUCUCUCUUUCUCUCUCUAUCCAAACGUUGCAGCUUGUGUCUGGCCCGGAUGGUUCCGGCAGCAACAGCAACAGCAGCAGCACAACUGCCAGCUUCCCACGCCGCCACCCCAACAACCGAGUGUGCGCCAAGUUUGUGGAGUUGUGUGUGUGUGUGUGCAAGUGUGCGCGUGAUCCUUCAAGCAAAUAUCAAUAUCUACAUGUAUAUCAUAAAUUAGCAAACAUCAACUACUACAAAUACUCCUGCAAAUCAUCAUGCCGUCAUGGUCAGUGACACACCUGCUCGGGGAGGGGCUGGGAAUGCGCUGGAGAAGCUGGUGGCUUUCGGUUGGGAGUGGCCCAACUCGGGGCGGAAGACGUCGUCGGGUAGCUCCGUCCUAUCCUGGUGUGGUGGUGGUGGUGUGUGACCGAGUGGUUGUGAGCGAUCCAAACUCUCCCGUCGCUUCGCCGUGGUAGUGUCCAGACGGUCCCGUGUGUGUGUGUACGUGCCUUCUGCACCCCCGCCAUGCGUCCCAUAGCGCCGACUCGCACGCGUUACGCCGCGCCCUCGAAUCUCCGGUAACGAGAAGCGUCCGCCGCUGGCGCUCCCGUCCCUUUUCGAUGGGGGUGUGCUAGUGUGCGGGCGCGUACAUUUAGCUUACAUAGACUAAGUUUCUUAUUCUUCCUUUUCGCGGCUAGAUCCGUGUCUGUCGCCUGCGGGCGAGAGACGGGGCGCUUCCAAAAGUGGCUGUGUGGUGCUGGCGCGGCCGGCCCAUGUCCGCGGCGAUCCCUCCGGCGGUGCUGUCCUGCGCCUCAGGGGUGCUCUGGCCUGCCGGCCUGGCCUGUAAGUGCGCCUGUGGCUAUGUGCGUGUGAGUGUGUCCAUGUGUGCGUGCCCCUUAGUGUUGUGAGUGUGCGUGUGCGCGUGUUCCACGAUCGCCACAUUCGACCGACGCCAGCCGGUCUGCAGUGCCGGAGCAUAGUGUCCCCCCCCCCUGGCGGGAAACACCGCCGCGAGACCGCCCGGCCGUGGGUCUCCGGGCAGGCCGGGUAAUCUCGCCCAGUCGCGGCGCCCCUUUCCGCAAUGGAUCUAACAACCUUCCAGUGUGCAGUUAUAUAGCGUAUAAAUGUUACGACCCCCACAGCCACAGAGAACAGUACGAAACGAAACCACAAUUUGCACGCGCUCGCCGAACGCCCGCUCCAAAACGGCGAUCAACCGAGAUCACGAGUCGACGUAGCUGCGCGUUCACGAGAGCGGACACUUUGGAGCGGGCCAGGGGGGCGCCCUAACACCUACGAUAGAUAUAUAUAAAUUAAAAAAAAACAAACGCCCCAACCCAGCGCGCGUUCUCUCAGCGACUCAGAAGCGAGCGAUUAAACGGUUAAACGGUUUCUUUUUUUCUUUUCGCUCACUUUUCUACGACCGGUCCGUGCCGCUGCUGCAUUCGGGCGCGGCCGCUGCGAGCUGGCUCGGGCGGCAGCAAAUGGUAGAGUGUUUGCGCGUGCGGGUACGUGUGUGUCGGUGUGUUUUUGUGCGCGUGCGCAACACGCGAGCCGUUACGAUCCUGGUCACGGCACCAGUUAAAACCCCAAACAAAUCAGGUGUGACUUAACGGACGGGUGUUAUUGCACUACCACGGUCAGGCAUGGGGCACGACUGAGCGCCGACGAGAAUUUGGUCGGUGGUCGAUGAUUAUGCUGACCUCUUACUUUAAACGUUAUGUGUAUGGUCCUUGGCCAAGAAGGUUUUUAAUUUUUCCUGGACUAUUUCUCCGUUUUCCACGAGGAUUUUUCUCCUUUUCUAAUCAUUUAUUCGUUUUUUUUGCUUUAUUACAACACGUUACGUUACGUUACAUAACGUUACGUAACAAUGCGUUACAUAGCGUUACUAUGCGUUACAUUGCGUUAUGUUGAAAUAAAAAUCGUUUCCCCACUUCUCCUUCCCCUCCUUUCUCUCCCACCCGUCUCAACAGUGCCUAGAUGCGCACGUGCGUUCUUCUGAUCGACAGAAUUUCAACGGCUCGGCAGGAUGGCGGUACCAUUUCGCCCGGUGGGCUGCGUCUGCGAUCUACCAUCGCGCUAAUGACGUGUACGUGCGCUACGCGAGUGUGUGUAUGUAUGUGUGUGUGGGAAGCAAAGGAUCUCCCUCUGAAACAGCGAGGAGACGGAUCGGGCCCAGUGGAAAGGGCCUGUUCGCGCAGGGAGGGGCAAGCGUUACCCAUGCUUGCACUCGCUGCUUUGGCAACGGUCCGCGCCCCCUACCUCUAGUCCCGACCCGUUCCAGGAUCCAUAGUGCAAAUGAAAAUGCAAAAAAAAAACAGUUAAAAAAACAUAACUCUACUCUAUGCUCCACAAGUGUGCCGUGACGGUAUCUUUCGCUACUUUACGCAACAAGAACGAACCACGCAUACCGGACUCUCUUUACUCACCUCCUAUCUUUAAGCUCUAAUCCUACUGUCGGCGCAACUAUAGCGUAUAUACAUUAAGCUGCCUGCUGCAAACCGCCAUAUUCUUCGCCAGCAUCGUAACCUUCCUACCGCUAGAUCGUAAGACCGUGCCAGCCAACAACAAAACAACGACAAAAAAAAACAACAACAAAAACAACUUUCGGUUUUCAUUUUUCCUAGUGCGUAUUCUUUUUUCCGUUUUUUUUAAAUUUGGCAAUGCGAUCGGUACGGCCGGCGGCCCAGCCCGGUGUGUCUGGUUUGCCCGGGUGGAGCCUUUUUGCGGGUGGGCACGUACGUGACCCACCUCUCCACUUCUCGCAAGCCUUCUGCGCGAGCAUCCGCCGUUGUUCCCGCGCGAAUUCUGUCGAUCCCUCGGAAGCGCACCUUGUCCGCUUGCGGGCUGCAUUCUAGCAAGGUUUAGACGUAUGGAGAACUCCCGAAUCCCCGUUCCAAAUAUCCACCAAUCCCUCCCCAACACUCCCCCGAUUCCCGGGACUUCCGGGCGCCUAGCUCGAACGUAAACUCUCCGUCAAAAGCAUCCAACCGCCCAGUUUUGAAACGCUCCGGAGCACUUUCCAACCGCGAACUAGCACCGGUCGCCGUCUGUCGUCCCGUACCCGGUGCCCCAACCGCACUCCUACCAUUUGGGGUCAAACCACCUUUUUUUCGAUUUUACCAAUUUUUUUCGAUCAUUUUUUUUAUUUUCUAAAAAUUGAAAACCUUUCACUUCUGCACGGAAUGCUCUCUCACGGUGUGCGUGCGUGCACUCUCCUCGAGUGCGAGUUCCUUUCUCCUCCUCUGUCGGUGCGUGCCUCCUGCAGCAGCUUCCGGUUCCGUUUUGCCGUGCCGCGCGCGCGUGGGCAGGGUGACGACGGUCGACACGGGGGUAUGGUGUACAUUGCACGGCCAACGGCCACAGGUACACCGAGCGCUACGUUAAAGCAAAAACCAACAAACAAUCCGCAACAAAAUUACACGAGACUGCGACCCGCUUUCUGCUGCUCCUUCCCCUCCUCCCUGCCCACGGCCUUCAAUCACGUCGCGUACUAUCCGCCACGACCGGGUUCGGGAGGCGGUACGGGUGCGCCGCGGGACGGCGUACGGUCGCACCGGCCGGUUGUUUGGGCAGCACCGGUCAAAGCUGGGUGGCUUCAGGAAGCUGUUUUGACCAUUGGGAAAUUCGUUCGAGCUCGGUGCCCAUCACCCACACCACACGCUUUUGUCUGUUUUCGGGUUUGAUUGUUUUGGAAGGUCUCUGUUUACUCUUUUCUGGUUUUUGCUCCUGGAGCACAACGGACCUCUCCUCCCGCUCUUGGUCUCUGCCCUCCCUUACAUUUCUCUCACCUCCGAUCGCUCCCAAUCCUGUGUGGCUCCGCGAGGCACUACGCGGGUCCGAUCGUUACUCGAAAAGCGAACAGUAAACGAAACGCGCGCUAACGAUGAUACACGAACCGCCAAAUGCAUUCGAAACACGCGCUCGUGGUUCCACCUCGAGCCGGGUAAAGAGAGAGAGGAAAAAAACACGUCUGCGAAUGUUACAAAGAAAGCGUGUAACGCCAGAGAAAACGCAAAAAUCGCGCUGACACGCAGUGCGCAAAUGCCGGUCGAGUAAGACGUCUGAUACAUUGCGAUCGAUACGAAGUAGAAGCGAGUAUGCUAGCGAACAAGGAAAGCGAAACAGAAGAGGAAAAGAAAUACGUAUAUAUACAAUUAAAAAAGAAUAAAACGAAAAAAAACUACCAACUUAAAACAAUCCACCCGAUAAAGCUACACCCGAUAAAAGAACACAAAAAAGACAACUCGGAAA